CCGGCUCCAACUCGGGCGCAACAGCAAUGACAUCGGUAGAGGGACUAGGUGAAGGAGGCUCGCCGCUCGUAUUAAAGUUGAUCUCAACCGAAGGGUUGAACCUCGCCAGCUUAUCCUCCCAACGAAGCUGCUCAUCCACUAAUUGAUCCAUGAUAUAGCUGCGCAACUCCUCUGAACUACGAAACGACUCGACCACUUCGGCUCGGGCAUCAACUAUCUCCUCGGCCUUCGACCGUUUAAGCUCUUCCACUUCCUUGGCCAGCGCCAUCUUCUGCAACAGCAGGGUGUUCCUCUCUCGGAUGGCCUACUGCACCUCAGCCAUCUUACCCUUGGCCAUCUCAUCACGCC
rnacentral:lncRNA from 1 species